rnacentral:rRNA from 1 species
ACGGGAGGCAGCAGUGGGGAAUAUUGCACAAUGGAGGGAACUCUGAUGCAGCGAUGCCGCGUGAAGGAAGAAGUUCUUCGGAAUGUAAACUUCUAUCAGCAAGGAAGAAAACGGACAGUACUUGAAUAAGAAGCCCCGGCUAACUACGUGCCAGCAGCCGCGGUAAUACGUAGGGGGCAAGCGUUAUCCGGAAUUACUGGGUGUAAAGGGUGCGUAGGCGGCAUGGCAAGUUGGAUGUGAAAUCUAUGGGCUUAACCCAUAGCAUGCAUCCAAAACUACUAAGCUAGAGUACAGGAGAGGAAAGCGGAAUUCCUAGUGUAGCGGUGAAAUGCGUAGAUAUUAGGAAGAACACCGGUGGCGAAGGCGGCUUUCUGGACUGAAACUGACGCUGAUGCACGAAAGCGUGGGGAGCAAACAGGAUUAGAUACCCUGGUA